GUGGGGAAUCUUCCGCAAUGGGCGAAAGCCUGACGGAGCAACGCCGCGUGAGUGAAGACGGCCUUCGGGUUGUAAAGCUCUGUUAUAUGGGACGAACGGGUGUAUGGUCAAUACCCAUACGCCGUGACGGUACCGUAAGAGAAAGCCACGGCUAACUACGUGCCAGCAGCCGCGGUAAUACGUAGGUGGCAAGCGUUGUCCGGAAUCAUUGGGCGUAAAGGGCGCGCAGGCGGUUCGGUAAGUCGGUCUUAAAAGUGCGGGGCUUAACCCCGUGAUGGGAUUGAAACUGCCGGACUGGAGUGUCGGAGAGGAAAGCAGAAUUCCUAGUGUAGCGGUGAAAUGCGUAGAUAUUAGGAGGAAUACCAGUGGCGAAAGCGGCUUUCUGGACGACAACUGACGCUGAGGCGCGAAAGCCAGGGGAGCAAACGGGAUUAGAUACCCCUGUAGUCC
rnacentral:rRNA from 1 species